rnacentral:lncRNA from 1 species
CUCAUAUACUAUUGUUUGGUUGGGGGUUAGGGGGUGGAAUAAUCCCUUAACCCUUAUUUUAUUUUCAAAUAUUUUUAAAAAUAGGUGGGGUUAGCUAACCCCACCUCAAAUGGGUUAUCCCAGGUUAGCUAACCACAUCUAAUCCCACCAAACCCCAAACAAACACUCACUAUCCUUUUUAUCCCACUUACUCUAACCAAACACUAUUUUUCACUAUUCUGGACUAACUCCAACCUCCAACCAAACACAAAAAUACUCUAACCCCACCUCAACCCUAAACUUAACCCUAUUCCUGAAAUAACUAGUUUUUCCUUAACCCUAGCCCUGAAAUAACUAGAUUUGAGAUUUAACAUAUGCAAUACUAAUAUUCUGAAUUAUGAGGUUUAGUAGGCGUUGCAUAAAUUAAGGGAAGCCAUGACAAGAUUUGAGAGAGAGAGAGGGAGAGAGUGUGUGUGGUGUGAUUUUUUUUUGAAAAAAAUAACGUAUUAUUCGCUUUAUUCAAUAAAAAUAUGAAAUAGACUAUAUUAGUAAGACAACGGGACUUAAGAAAAAAACAACAAAUGGCAAAAAAAAAAACAAAUACUAAAACCAAAAAUAAAAAUGAAAAUUACAGUUUACAGAUAAUGAUAUAUCAACUGUCUUUCGUUACUACAAGGAUCUUUCCAAAACUCUCUUAAUUUACGAAGUUCGCUUAGGUUACGAUUAAUAUUAUUUUUUAAAUUCUGAAAUAUUCUGUUGUUUUUUUCAGCCACACGAGCCACCGGACCACAAAUAACCGUUAGAAAGUCUUUCCUCCUUUUGGUAGUGUCCGCCUGUAUUCGACGAUCUUUCCACAGAUCUCCUAUCGUCGUGUUGCUUAAUAUUGAAUCAGGAUUAGAUAGAAAACGAAAAGAUAAGUAUCUGAUACAAACAUAAUUC